GAGAGGAAAUGUUGAUGGGUCCAGCUAGGUGUUCACAGGGAGGAAAAGCUGAACCUGUUGAAAGUCUCAGGAACUUUUCAGUUGUGACCUGCCAUUAUGAAGUCAGUAAGGAGGUCAACAGAAGCUCUCCAAAGUGGCACUAAAGCUUUCAGCAUGUCUUUGUCCGUGGCCUGCUCUUAACUGGCUUGAUGCUCAGAAGACAGUCCAGGUAAAAACAGAAGAGAACCUCUCAGUUCAGAGGCAAUACACAGAAGACACAGCUUAACACAGUUCAGAGGCAAUAUUCAGAAGACACAACUUACAGACUCUGUUAGAACUUUCCCAGUUGCUACCUCACGUUACCAUGACAACCGCUGGCCUUGGAUGUCUGCUCACUCUCAGGCCAAGAGAUAACAGUUACUUCUCCAAACUUGCAGGCUUUAUGGAAAACAACUAGAGACAGUAAUGCCUAUGGGUCACAGCCCAACAGGUUGAUGGAUAUUUUGUGUUGUAUUGAUUUCUUUAAUUAACACUUUUAGUACAACUGUAUUGUUUUAAUGGAUUCUGUAUUGUAUUUAUUUGUAUUUUACUGUCUUGUAAACAUCUUUGGGACUCCUUUUGGGGGUGCAGAGUUUUAUGUCAAUAUCCCCACAAAGCAACUUAGGAACUGUAGUUUUCUGAGCAUGCGAAUUCUCUUAGAUCCCCAGUUCUCUCCCUACCCCCCCCUCUCUCCCCCCAGAACUACAAUUCCCAAGGUUUCCUUUGAAGAGGGAGGAAGUGUUAA